CGGACGGGUGAGUAAUGUCUGGGAAACUGCCCGAUGGAGGGGGAUAACUACUGGAAACGGUAGCUAAUACCGCAUAACGUCGCAAGACCAAAGAGGGGGACCUUAGGGCCUCUUGCCAUCGGAUGUGCCCAUAUGGGAUUAGCUUGUAGGUAAGGUAACGGCUUACCUAGGCGACGAUCCCUAGCUGGUCUGAGAGGAUGAUCAGCCACACUGGGACUGAGACACGGUCCAG
rnacentral:rRNA from 1 species